CCUACGGGGGGCUGCAGUGAGGAAUAUUGGUCAAUGGCCGAGAGGCUGAACCAGCCAAGUCGCGUGAGGGAAGACGGCCCUACGGGUUGUAAACCUCUUUUGUCGGGGAGCAAAGCGAGUCACGUGUGACUCAUUGAGAGUACCCGAAGAAAAAGCAUCGGCUAACUCCGUGCCAGCAGCCGCGGUAAUACGGAGGAUGCGAGCGUUAUCCGGAUUUAUUGGGUUUAAAGGGUGCGCAGGCGGCCUGUUAAGUCAGCGGUAAAAGCCCGGGGCUCAACCCCGGCGAGCCGUUGAAACUGGGGGGGUGGAGUGGGAGAGAAGUACGCGGAAGGCGCGGUGUAGCGGUGAAAUGCGUAGAUAUCGGGCAGAACCCCGAUGGCGAAGGCAGCGUACCGGCUCCACACUGACGCUGAGGCACGAAAGCGUGGGUAGCGAACAGGAUUAGAUACCCGGGUAGUC
rnacentral:rRNA from 1 species